rnacentral:lncRNA from 1 species
AUCACAUUUACUACUCUGUUUAUCAUGCAUAUUAAUCAAUCCUAGUCGUUGUAAUUUCAUAACAUAGGAAGAAUUCAAAUGUCCUAAUCUAGCAUGCCAUAAAUCAUACGAGUCAACAAUAUAAGCAGAAGAAGAUGAUUCAUUGAUAUUUUCAGAAAUGUUAAGUACAAAAAGACCUUGAUCACAAUAUCCCUUCCCCACAAAAACAUUAUUCU